rnacentral:rRNA from 1 species
CAAUAGCGUAUAUUAAAGUUGUUGCGGUUAAAAAGCUCGUAGUUGGAUUUCUGCUGAGAACGACCGGUCCGCCCUUUGGGUGUGUAUCUGGCUCUUUCUUGGCAUCUUCUUGGUGAACGUUGCUGCACUUGACUGUGUGGAGCGCUACCCAGGACUUUUACUUUGAGGAAAUUAGAGUGUUUCAAGCAGGCAUACGCCUUGAAUACAUUAGCAUGGAAUAAUAAGAUAGGACCUCGGUUCUAUUUUGUUGGUCUCUAGAGCUGAGGUAAUGAUUAAUAGGGAUAGUUGGGGGCAUUCGUAUUUAACUGUCAGAGGUGAAAUUCUUGGAUUUGUUAAAGAUGGACUACUGCGAAAGCAUUUGCCAAGGAUGUUUUCAUUGA